UGUUUAGUGAUGAAUGC
rnacentral:misc_RNA from 1 species